rnacentral:rRNA from 1 species
UACGUAGGUGGCAAGCGUUGUCCGGAAUUAUUGGGCGUAAAGAGCAUGUAGGUGGAUUAUUAAGUCGGACGUUAAAAUGCGGGGCUCAACCCCGUAUUGCGUUGGAUACUGGUAAUCUUGAGUGCAGGAGAGGAAAGGGAAUUCCCAGUGUAGCGGUGAAAUGCGUAGAUAUUGGGAGGAACACCAGUGGCGAAGGCGCCUUUCUGGACUGUAACUGACACUGAGAUGCGAAAGCUAGGGUAGCAAACGG